rnacentral:hammerhead_ribozyme from 1 species
AUCUAACUGAUUUGUCCAAAAUAGGACGAAACUCGCGUCCUAGAU